AAGGCAGAACAACAUGACUGAAGGCGAUGAGGAACAGCUGAUCACCUGUGGAAGUCAUUUGUCCUAAAUUGUCAUGGACAGACCAUGUGCCUUACAGCAAGAAAAUUCUGUGAAUAAACAGGAAGCCAGCCAGCCAGGGAAGAUGCUUUUGUGAUAUAUCCCAGCAUGCUGAUGACCCCAAGGAGGACCACUGGAUACCUAGCAAGGAGCUGGCUGCAGCAUACCAUGAAUCCUCACAGCAACUUAAUGAGAUUCUCCCAUUGAGAAGCAUUUCUGUGAGCUCUGGAAGUCAGGUGAAAAGGAGAAGUCAUAAUCUAUGGCAGCAGCUAUGGGAAGGAAAAAGAAGAACUGAUUGAAGAGUGGCAACCAGAACCUCUUGUUCCUCCUGUCCCAAAAGACCAUCCUGCUCUCAACUACAACAUCGUUUCAGGCUUUUUAGUGCACCAUUCAUAAAUAUGAACAGUAUCCAGUAAAUACCAAACAUUUGAAGAAAGGGUCUACAAUAGAAGAGAGAUCAAAACAAAUGAAUAGAACAAAGGAACUUAGAAGAAA
rnacentral:lncRNA from 1 species